UACUUGAGUCCUGCGCAACGGAAAUUUGCGAACCCCGUCAGGUCCGGAAGGAAGCAGCGGUAAGCAAACACUUCCGUGUGCCGCAGGGGAGCUUGAGUGGAGC
rnacentral:SRP_RNA from 1 species